AAAAGCCGCGCACUCGCUUCGCGUUCUAAGCCCGAGCGAGAGGCGCUUCUGAGACGGAGGAAGGGACCUGCAGGAGCCUGCCGCCCGCCAGCUGCCGUUGCCGCCGCCACCGGUGCCACCGCUGUCCGCGCGUGUCGGAAGAGGGACACCGCUGGGAAGGCAGGAGCUGCGAAACAGUUACACACGCCGUCUCCCGGGGAGUGGACCCCGCUCGCAAGCCCCGACUUUGCAGAGGUGAUUUGUGUCUGUCUCCUUGUUUCAAGAUCUCAGGUGCCCAUUCAUGAGUCCCAGGCUAUGAGAAACGCUCCACGUGCCAAGGGGAGCUCUCAACAGAUCUGAGCUGUCCUAAAGAGACGCUAUUCCGACUGAGUCAGCAUUACCAGCUUAUCCAAUAAAAGUACUAACAUAUUCGUUAACAACGUCGAAAGUAGCCUACUUUAAGAGAAAAUAUGCAGAAGAAGAAGAUUUACAUCAAGAUUACCAUGGGUAUUUUCCAAAACACCUGAUAUUACCUGAAGACAGGACUUGCAUCCUCAAAAUUUCUCUGGAGAAGCUCAGGUUUCUAGAAGACCCAGAAACCUACUUAAGAAGGUCUGUGUUAAUUAACAAUUUGCUGAGGAAGAUACACCUGGAGACAGAGAAAGAGAGCUAUGAAUACUUUAAAGAAGCUCCCUGUUAUAAGACUGCUUAUUCUGAUGCAAGAAAACGGCUGAAGUUUAUGGUACAGGAAUGCUGUUCCCAGUCUCUUUAUUAUGAAGAGCUGCAUUCCUACCAUAUCGUGCCUUAUGCUUCAGGAAAUGCCAUUUAUGGAAUGGGCUACACUAGUGACCACUUGGAGCAAAAUUCUCAGUUGCUUAUUUAUAAAAUGAAUUAAAGUAACUGUUAAGUUCAUUAAUAUUUUGUUUCUAACUGCCUGAACUGUUCAUAGUGAAGAUGUUAAUACAAGGCACUAAUUGCCAGUGCACUUGAUCUCAAAGAUGAGAUAGAUGCAUGCUGAAUUGAGUGGAGAGAGCCAUGGGUAUUACCCAGCAGUCCUUAGUACCAUCAAAUUGAAUGGAAAAUAUAUCCACUUAUCAUAAAGCAGUGAAUUAGUGCAUUAGAAGCAAAGAGGUUUUUUUUUAAGAUAAGAAGGGAUCUAUAUCAAACUGUUAGAUUAAAGCUUUUAAGCCCCCAAAGUCCAAAUUUUGUCACUCUUAGUGAAAAGUAAUAAAAGGAGCCACGAUGUACACGAUGAGAAUUCCUUCUUUCUGAAACUCUUUGGCCUGUCAAGCACUGUACCAAAUGAUUGACAGUUUUUUCCUUUGACCGUGAGUGGCAAUUCAAGAUAGGGCCAACGUUCACUGCAGCUUACCUGCUGAAUGUAACAAAUGGAUUUUUCCAAGCUGAUCCAUUUUAUUCUUUUUUUUGUUUAUUUUUCUUAUUUGUCUUAAUAGACUUUUCUCUUUAAGAAUGAAAUGUAAUAAAUUAGCAUUGCAUAUAGGAUUAUCUUUAGGCUCUAGGGGUUGGUUACAAUUUGUGCUGGGCCUUUAAGAGUUUAAUUUUUAUUUAUUAUCUUAUUUUUUUAUAGGCUGUGAAGCUCAGGAAAAGGGUAGGGAGGCAAAAUCUGUUUGUAAUGGGUUAUUUUUUAAAACCCAAUAUGCAAGAAUUGGUGAGGAUUAUAGACUUUGUAUAUGAUGUCAUUUAUUCAUUGUGCUAAGGGUUCCCAUAAGACUGCCUGGAUGAAACUUUGCACUGAUUUUUGUAUAGUAGUCAAUCACUCACUAUUUAACAAAAUGUCUGAGAAUGCCUUUGUGGUGAAGUUCAGAUAAGUCCCUAUGUUUUACACUUUGAAGGGUGAUGAUUUAACAAGUUGGAUAGAUUCAUGAAAUUGUUGGAAAUGAUUCAUUGUGUUCUUUGAGUGAAACGUCCUACUUCAGGAUUUGGAUUUUUUUGUCCUAUGGAGCAUUUUUUUUAACAAAUUGUUAUUGAUAAAACAGAUUGGGAAAACUAGGUGCCAAAGGUGUAUUUAAGAAAAUACCAAAGACUCAAAGAUGAGUGUUAGGAAGAUUGUGAGAGUGAAGCUAGCAGACAAGGUUAUAAACUAAGGACUACACUGGACAUGCAAGAAUAUUGCUGAGAGUUUCACAGUGGCUCGCUUACCAGUGUUCUUUCUGAAUGCUUUGUUCAGAAUAAUGAUAAACAAGGACAUGACUUUAAUAUACCAAACAUUCAGUAAUCAUAUGCUUUCAUAAUUUUAAAUAUGGUGACAUAGUAUUAUCCCUAGCUGAUGGUAACUUGUAACCUGGCUGGUCUUGUUCUAUUAAAGAGAGCUUUGUUUUUAGUUUUGAUUCCGUAUUUGGUCCCUGUAAUGAGUCACCAAGAUAAUUUUGUACAAGGAAUAUUGGUGCUCUAAUGAAGUGGUACUGUAGAAACUCACGUAGGUAUGCCACUGAUCAAAGUGUCAGGCUGGUAUUUAAUUGCUCCAUCAAAUUUAGGAAAAAUGCUUUAGAAUAAAGUGAAAAAUCAUAAAGGAGGUAAAGAUUUAAAGACAAUUUGGUAUAAAUGGUAAGAUGUCCAUAAAAGCUAGCCAUAAAAAUUUUUAAAUUAAUUUAAAGGUAAGAUUUGGUGCCAAAGUUUAAUGUUUUUAUUUAAUUGCUAAAAAAAUACAGAUUUACUUAAAAAUGGGGAUAGCCCAAGACUCUAAUUUGAUAGAUAACAUCAUAUUUUAAAAAAAUAGAAUCAGCUCUCUGAUUCCUGAAAUGAACACUGGGCUUGCUUGGCUUAAGGCAGAAUCACUAGGGAAAAGAUACCAGUGCUAAUAGAUGCAACAUUCUAAAAAGCCUCAUGUUGAAAUUGGCUAAGGAUAGGAAUGCACAUACUGUGGAACAGAAAAGAAAGGAAGAGGAAAGAUCAUCAAGAAAGUGUGAAAGUGUCGUGUUGUAUGUCAGAAAUCCUAAACAAAGCAAGAAUAUGGGAGAAAGCACCAGGGACAGAUAUGAAAGUGUUUAUUUCAUCAUGUUAUUAACUGAGUUCUCUAAUCUCUACACAGUGACUAUAGAAAAGAAGUUGUCUUAGAAGCCAGUGGCAUUUGUGAUUAUGCUUUUAUUUAAAUAUUCAUUGAUUUAAAAAGAUUAUUUAAAAAUACUUUUUAGCAAUUCAUUUUCCCCAAUAAACAGUUCAUAGAUAA